CUUUUCAGUACUCGUUUUACAUGAGCCGGAUAAAGGACAGACUGUACAUAUAACCUCGAAGCGGGCAUACAACCCUAUAGCUACAGACACCAACUCAGACACAUUUCAAUUCACAAGAGAGGCAGGCAAGAUGUGCAUCAGCAGAUACAGAUGAACACCCAAGUUGCAACAAUAUAACAAGAAAGAGUCUCAGACUAACCUGAAACAUAUCUCCCUUGGCAACCUCUUCUAAAGGUUCCGGAUCAACUACUGGUUCCCCCCACAUCAACCGAAGAACAGCACAGGCAAUGAUGGUGCGGGUGACAUUGGCAGGCUUCAUUCUAAUCUGUUCUAAAAAGAAGUUGGAGGAAUAACAUUGACAAAUAAUGUUACAUCAAAAGUCAUUGUUAAAAAUGUUGUCAAAUUUGUCCCCAAUGUUUGAUGCAGAGUAAAUGGUAACAACUUCUUUUUG